AAGUGCUUGUAGUCCACCCUUUCAAACAAAGGAACAUAAGGUUUAUACGCGCCUAUGACAAAACCAAAUGAAUCUAAAACUUAAAACCACCUGUUGUAAUCAGUUGCAAACUAAGAAAACUUUACAUUUAACAAAACCAGAUCAUCUUUCACCAAACUUAAAGAAAAUAUUACAGGUAUUACAGCCCAUCAACUUGAGAACAGAGUUGCGGUUUAAUUCCCACGUACCUUUCCAUCAAUCAGAGUUGUAUACAGUUCUGAGCCCUUGUCUUUUAAGUCUACUGGUAUACUAGCCAAGAUCUUAUCCUUAUCAUCUAUAGCCACCUGAAACAAUUUCGUCAAAGCAUACUAUGCUUCCACUAUUCUUGCAAACUUAAUACAAAUCAAGAAGUAAAUCCACCACUUCAAUGCCAACCAAUCAAGAGUCUCUCAGAACAUACGAAACUAAGAGCCUCAAACAAGAUCAAUAAACUAGAAGCUUCUAUAGAAAA